rnacentral:hammerhead_ribozyme from 1 species
AUCUAGCUGACCAGUCCCAAAUAGGAUGAAAUGCGGGUCUUGGAU